GCGCUCACCCCUUGGCAAAUUUCUAGCCUACAUUUUGGUUCAGAGAAAUCACCAAAAAAAGAAUAUUUUUGCGCACAAAUUUAGGCUAGAAAUUUGCCAAGGGAUGAGCGAUCUUAAGAACAAUUGUUCCUUUGUGAAUUCGUAGUCUACAUUUAGGCGGAAAAAUAUUCGUUUUUUUUGAUGAUUUCUCCGAACCAAAAUCUUUUUUUUGAAAAAGUAAAACCAUUCAAGCACAGAAGAAUGUGUUACAUUUAAAGGAAAAAUUGGAGUCAUAACUUUACCCACUUGAAAGAACCUGUGCAGAUUAACCACACACCAAUUUUUCCUUAAAAAGGAACACAUUUUCGCGUGCUUUAAUGGUUUUACUUAAAAAAAAAAAGAUUUUCAAA